rnacentral:lncRNA from 1 species
AGCAAUUAAAUUUUGGGCACGUAUGGUUGGUGGCACAUACUUCUAAGUACACUCGAGUGGCUUGGCCUGGGUAGUGGCAAGUUUGAGACAUCACAGGGAGCAUGGGAACUCCAUCUCAAACCAAACCAAAAUGAAAAAUUAGUAAGACUUUCACUGAAAAAUUUGUCAGGUUUUCAAAAGGAAUACUGUGUGUUAUUUGUAGUUAAAAAUAAUAAAAUAAUAUUUUAUAAAUUUUAUAGGCCAUUCUGCAAAUUGAUGUUAAUGAAAUGUUUUACUGUAAAUUUGAAAGAAGGACUACAUCUGAUACUGAAGGAAUUCAGUGAGAACAUCUAAGAGGUCUUACUGUUAAUUCUCCCCACUUGUAUUCAUGAAAUUUUGCAUCCUUUAACUUUUUCAAUUAACAUCUUCAGUAUAUAUAUAUUUAGUUGAAAAUAAUAAAAAUUAUAAUAUUUAAAUGUAUUUUUUUCAAAA